rnacentral:rRNA from 1 species
UACAGAGGUCUCAAGCGUUGUUCGGAUUUAUUGGGCGUAAAGGGUGCGCAGGCUGCAUGGUAAGUUUGGUGUGAAAUCCUGGGGCUUAACCCCAGAAUUGCACUGAAUACUGCCGUGCUAGAGGACUGGAGAGGAGAUUGGAAUUCACGGUGUAGCAGUGAAAUGCGUAGAUAUCGUGAGGAAGACCAGUGGCGAAGGCGAAUCUCUGGACAGUUCCUGACGCUCAUGCACGAAGGCCAGGGGAGCAAACGGG